GCUCCUACGGGACGCAGCAGUGGGGAAUAUUGGGCAAUGGGCGCGAGCCUGACCCAGCAACGCCGCGUGAAGGAUGAAGGUUUUCGGAUUGUAAACUUCUGUCGCGAGGGACGAAGAAUGACGGUACCUCGUAAGAAAGCCCCGGCUAACUACGUGCCAGCAGCCGCGGUAAUACGUAGGGGGCAAGCGUUGUCCGGAAUGACUGGGCGUAAAGGGAGUGUAGGCGGCUCAUCAAAUUAGAUGUGAAAUCCCGCGGCUUAACCGCGGAACUGCAUCUAAAACUGGUAAGCUGGUGUGCAGGAGAG
rnacentral:rRNA from 1 species